AAUUAGUACAAGAUUUCUGAAGGGAAUCUGGCAAUGUGUAUCAAGAAACAACAACAAAAAAUUAUACCCUUUGAACCAGUUUGGGGCAGGAAUGUAUACAUAAGUCUGGAACAUCUUGCCACACCAGACACAAGGAUCAUCUGUUAGCGAUGACAACAGAAGGAUCAUCUCAGAAGGACUCAGGAGCCAAACUAAAUACACUCUCCCUGCCAAAGCAGCAGUUCUCCAAGUGAGGUCCCUGGACCAGCAACAAUCAGCAUUAUCCAGAAAAUGUGAAUUCUCAGGCCCUACCCAGAUCUGUGGAAGCAGAAACUCUUGGGGUAGAGCUUAACAAUCUGUGGGUUAAGAAGUCCUCUGGGUAAUUCAAAUGCAUGGAAAUACAUUACAGCCCAGUGCUUCCUACAGGAACUGAAAAACCAGAUGGCCUGGAUUUGAAUUCCGGCUUCCACCUCCUACAGGCUCUGUGAGCUUGGCAAGCUCCUUAACCUCCCUGUGCCUCAGUUUCCUCGGCUGUAAGAUGGGGACAAUGGU
rnacentral:lncRNA from 1 species